AUGGGGGACGAGAUGGAGGCGGCGGCGUGGGCGUGGGCAUGGCGCGGCUGGCUGACGUGGCGCGCGGCGGCCGUGCUGCUGUCGGCGUGGCUGGCGCUGCACGUGGCGGCGCUGGUGGCGGACGCGCUGUGGUGGCGGCCGCGGCGGCUGGAGGCGCACUUCGCGGCGCAGGGCGUGCGCGGGCCGCCGUACCGGUUCCUGCUGGGUUCGGUGAAGGAGAUGGUGGGGCUCAUGGUGGAGGCCUCCUCCAAGCCCAUGUCGCCGCCCACCUCCCACAACGCGCUCCCCCGCGUCCUCGCCUUCUACCACUACUGGCGGAAGAUCUACGGUCCGACGUUCUUGAUAUGGUUCGGGCCGACGCCGCGGCUGACGGUAGCGGAGCCGGAGCUGAUCCGGGAGAUCUUCCUGACCCGCGCCGACGCCUUCGACCGCUACGAGGCGCACCCCGUCGUGCGCCAGCUCGAGGGGGACGGCCUCGUCAGCCUCCACGGGGACAAGUGGGCGCUCCACCGCCGCGUCCUCGGCGACGCCUUCUACCCCGACAACCUCAACCGCCUGGUGCCGCACGUCGGCAAGUCCGUGGCCGCGCUGGCGGAGAAGUGGCGAGAGAUGGCGGCGGCCGACGGCAGCGGCGAGGUGGAAGUAGACGUGGCGGAGUGGUUCCAGGAGGUGACGGAGGAGGCCAUCACGCGCGCCACCUUCGGCGGCAGCUACAACGACGGCCGCGUGGUGUUCGGCAUGCAGAGCCAGCUGAUGGCCUUCGCCUCCGAGGCGUUCCGCAAGGUCUUCGUCCCAGGCUACCGGUUCAUGCCGACCAAGAAGAACUGGCUGUCGUGGAAGCUGGACAGGGGUAUCCGGCGGAACCUGACCAGGCUCAUCGGCCGGCGCAGCGACGAGGCGGCCGCCGCCGUGAAAGCCGCCGAGGGUGAGAAGGCCGACACCGGGAGCUUCCGCGACUUGCUCGGGCUGAUGAUCAAUGCCAGCCAGAGGAGGACGCGGGCGCCGGCGGCGAAGGCGAUCCCGGUACAUGACAUGGUGGAGGAGUGCAAGACGUUCUUCUUCGCCGGGAAGCAGACGACGACGAACCUACUGACGUGGGCUACCGUGCUCCUCGCCAUGCACCCAGAGUGGCAAGAGCGCGCCCGGCGCGAGGUCCUGGACGUGUGCGGCUCCGACGACCCCUCCAAGGAGCACCUCCCCAGGCUGAAAACGCUGGGCAUGAUCAUAAACGAGACGCUCCGGCUGUACCCGCCGGCGGUGGCAACGAUCCGGCGCGCAAAGGCCGACGUGCGGCUCUCGGACGGGUGCAUGAUCCCGCGCGACAUGGAGCUGCUCAUCCCGAUCAUGGCCAUCCACCACGACGCUCGGUACUGGGGCCAGGACGCGGCGCAGUUCAACCCGGCGCGGUUCGCCAACGGGGCGGCCAGGGCGGCGAAGCACCCGCUGGCCUUCAUACCCUUCGGGCUCGGGUCCCGGAUGUGCGUCGGCCAGAACCUGGCGCGCCUGGAGGCCAAGCUCACCAUGGCCAUCCUCCUGCAGCGGUUCGAGAUCCGGACGUCCCCCAACUACGUGCACGCGCCGACGGUGCUGAUGCUCCUCUACCCGCAGUACGGGGCGCCGUUGAUCUUCCGGCCGCUCGCAUCACAGCCGUCGGCGGAUUCUACUACGUGCUCCUGUCCGAGACCCGAAUUCUUGUGUCAAAACUGA
rnacentral:rRNA from 1 species